GCCACGGCAACAUCAACGCAGCCAUCAGCGGUGCAGACGCCCUGCACCCCGGAGCGCUGCAGGCUCCGGCUUUGCCCGGAGUUCACCUCCGAGUGCCCCGGGGGCUGAGCUCACCCCGUCUGCUCGCACACACACGCACACUCUCUCUUGCACGGACACACACGCGUAUACACACUCUCGCACACACGUACGACCCCGGGCGCAAACACCCUCUUGGCAGCGGGCGUCCACAGGCGUGGUGGUAGCCAGGUUCGGUCCCUGCCCUCGGCAGCUACCGGCUGAGAGCACCACUGCCCCCGGCCGGAGGAGAGCGAUGGGGGGGCGCGAGCGGCAGCUCGAACAGUAAUGUGGAUUUACAGUCGUUUCCCGCAGGAACCGGCUGAGAAGCCUGAAGUCCCGGGCGCAGGCAGCGUCCGGCAGGGCUGAGCACCUGGCAAGAGGGCGGGGGACCGCACCUGGGGACGACACCGAAACUUGCGCCUGGACUAGGAAUUACAAGGGUGACCUUUAUUCAGCUGUCUCCUUUUUGAUUCUCAUACUUCUGGAUCUACCAAGGUACACUUUAUGAUUGACUGUAACAGCAAAGU